UAGGGAAUCUUCCGCAAUGGGCGAAAGCUUGACGGAGCAACGCCGCGUGAGUGAUGAAGGUCUUCGGAUCGUAAAACUCUGUUAUUAGGGAAGAACAAAUGUGUAAGUAACUAUGCACGCCUUGACGGUACCUAAUCAGAAAGCCACGGCUAACUACGUGCCAGCAGCCGCGGUAAUACGUAGGUGGCAAGCGUUAUCCGGAAUUAUUGGGCGUAAAGCGCGCGUAGGCGGUUUUUUAAGUCUGAUGUGAAAGCCCACGGCUCAACCGUGGAGGGUCAUUGGAAACUGGAAAACUUGAGUGCAGAAGAGGAAAGUGGAAUUCCAUGUGUAGCGGUGAAAUGCGCAGAGAUAUGGAGGAACACCAGUGGCGAAGGCGACUUUUUGGUCUGUAACUGACGCUGAUGUGCGAAAGCGUGGGGAUCAAACAGG
rnacentral:rRNA from 1 species